GGAUGGAUGUCUGAGCGGUUGAAAGAGUCGGUCUUGAAAACCAAAGUAUCGAUAGGAAUACCGGGGGUUCGAAUCCCUCUCCGUCUG
rfam:Beta vulgaris subsp. vulgaris Bvchr3.sca006.con0138.1, whole genome shotgun sequence.